CCCAUAGCAAAGCAAAAUUGAAGAUGAGAUCUCCUUUAUGUCACAUUUACAUCUCCUAGAUAUAAAUGAGCACUAAUUGAGACCAAAGUGGUUUUCUCAUUCUUCUCAAAUGUCUCUCCUGAGAAUUAAGUCUCACAUUGAGCACAGUGCAAGUUCUCUAAAUUCUCUCACAGCUGUCUCUUUUCCUGAUCUCAACUAAGAGAAAAAUGAGACAUACAAUGCAGCUUUCAAAUAUGUCUCAAUUUGAUCUCAAUUAUAUCUCAGUGAGAAAUAUGUCUCGUACUGCUCACUAUUUGAGUUCUCAGAUUCUCUUACAGUUGUCUCUUUCUAGUGUUUCAGCAAAAAGAAAAAAUAGAGUAGUGUUAGCUCUCAAAUUAGUCUCAAUAUGAGACAUUAUUUAAUAUUAUAGCUCAAUCAUAUCUCAAUUUAUCUCAGCGCAAAAUUUAAGAAAAGAAGUAUAUCAAUUCAGGCAAAUAAUUUGAGAUGGUUUACAUAAUGUUCAACUUACAAAAGGUGUUUAUUUCUGACAAGCCAUACAAUUCAUUAAUUAGAAUUUUGAGUUCUAAAACGUAACCCAUCAAAACAUAAGCCAUGAUUUGCUCAAAAGACACCUUUGUGAACUUUCUAAAUGUUGACAAUUGUGCUGUUUUAAAAGAAUUCACAGCAAAGCUCUAUUGUAUAGAGCAGUAAAAGAGUGUGUAACACGUUACUCCAAGAAUCCUACCUCAUGUGUGAUGAAAGAGUCCGUUAUGACUAUUACUAUUAACGUUGCACGCGCGGGAGACGUGGUAGCGCCAAGACCCGCCCUACGAAGCAGCUCAUUGCAUGGCUCACGAUUGAUUAGACUUUUCACCUCGAGUGGUUAAGGUUAGGAUAGCGGAUUGGUCAGGGGAUAGGACCUGAACAAAUAAAAAUGUUGUUAUCUAGAAUACAGGGCUUUUAAAAAGAAUGUAAUAGUAUAAAGGAAAUAUAAUCUGUGGGUAUACUCCAGUCCAGCGGUGGCGGUAAUACAACAACAAGUUAUCAACCGCCAGAUAAAAAUAGAAGAAGAAGAAGAAGAAGAAGAUUGGAGGGCGGGUCUUGGCGCCAAUUCGUAAUUUCGUUGGGGUGAGAGAAGUGCGUCGGUAACUGCUGCUGCACCUGUUGGCUUUUGCCCCUGCCACGAAGAGAAAAACAAAGUGCUGGCAAAAAAGAGGCUACGGGUUCCCACUCAGAAAAUUGAAGGACCUGAGCUCCCCUCCCCCAAAUGAGCAAUCUGGUAAGUAUUAACGUAAUAGUUUGUUAUAUACGGGGGUAAUAAUCAUAACAUUAAUAAUGUCUAAAAAUACCAGUCUAAAUUGUUGUGGCCAAAUAGAAAUUCAUUUCCAUCGGUGAAUCCAUCACCUGACGGGGGACAUGCAACAGGCCGCAACACAGCUGGACCACCACCCUAUGGAUACAGGCCGGGUCAGAGAGCUUCAGACUCUCUGCGACUUAAUUGGAGAGAGAUCUGGUGGCAGCCUAGCUUCACCAUCAAGCCAGCAGGAGCUGUUUCCUGGGAGCGGCCAAUUCAUCUCAUCAUUCCGCCUGGCUGCCAUGAAUCACGCAUCAAAACCAAAUUGCAUGCGUCUGUUUCAUGCACUUUUUGAUAAUUUCUUCACUGUUGAGGAGUGUCAAAAUGCAGUGCCCUUUGGUCACCCUGGAAACAACCCCUCAGGAAAGGAAGGAAAGCCGGUCCUUGACUGUAAAAAAGUUGACUGAAUCCUAAAUGUGCAACUCUACCGGACUGGGAACCAAUUGAGGAGGCCAAGCUAUGUGGACCGCGAUCUCUCUCUCUUUUGUGUGUGUGUGUGUGUGUGUGUGUGUCACACAAAUGCAGUUUUCAAUAUUGAGUAUUGUUUUUAGUUGUUUCUAAUUAAUAAAGAUAAUUAAUCUUUAAAUUGCGUUCUCAAUUUGUUCUUGUAUUUCUCAAAUAUACCUCAGAUAUCAUUCUCAUAUAUAGCUUCAGUAAGACAUUAAAGAGAAAUAAUCAAGAGAUGGAAGAGACGUUGGACACACAAUAAUAAGAUCUCUUUUAAGGCUCAUAAUUCUCAGAUUUGUCUCAUGUUAUUCUCCUUCAAAUGGCCGAGACACAAUUGAGAUCAGGGGUAUACAAUUAUGAGAUCUCUACUGUCUAUCCCACUUCUCAAGUAUUGCUCAAAUGGUAUUCUCAAUUUAACCUCCUUUGUCUUACUCAUGUCUUGUCUCUUUUUAGCUUAUGUCUUGCUCCUAAGGGACCCUUAGGAGAAGUAACUCAGAAACAAAUGAUCACAGAAUGAUAUGAACAUGAGAUGCUCAAAUUGAGCUCGCGAGAUGAGAUUGAACAACAGAUGAGCAACACAUUUUUCCUAUGGGAAG